ACAAGUGGUGAUGGGAACAAACAGAGGUUGUCAGGGACCUUAAACCUCAUCAUGCUGAACAGGUGUAGCGGUCUGAUUCCGUGGGGUGUCAUCGCGCAGUAAAUGCUCGCUUUGGACCUCCUGGUGACUGAAUUAGCCCUGUGUAUAUGGCCUAUUGGUGUCAGGUGUGAGGUCAUUAUCCUGCCACAUAUGGAUGGGACAGGUGUCUGAGAGGCUUUACACCACAGGACCUCCAUUACAGGCCAGAAGAAGACGCACACUCGGAGCGGGCCACUGCAGGGAGCUGCAUUCAUCAGAUUCUACCUUCCCCAUUUUAUUUGUGUAUCUGCUCUUCCUUCUUCAGUCAGAUAAAAAGAGCCAUCGGGUGGACAGGCCAAGCCUGAUGAAUACAGAAGGGAAGGAGGAGGGUGGGAGAUUAGAGCCCUGGAGAGAGAGAGAGAAAGAGCUUGCUGGAAAACGAAAGAUAAGCGGAAAGAGGUGAACAGGAACACUUGUCACUGCAGAUGUUGGCCUUGAUUUCUCCGAGCGGGAGAGAAGAUGUUCACGAGUGUGGCUGGACAUAAUGUAGUGGCCAAAUCUGUAAGGUCCUCCUCUCAGAACUCUGUGACAGCGCUGUUCCCUGAAGAUAUGGAGUAACAUGUUCAUAAGGUCAGCAGACCAACAACAGUUCUUCUGCCAAAUAUUAAAGGAAUGUUCCGGACUCUAUACAAGUUAAGGUCAAUCAACGGCAUUUGGGGCAAUGUUGUUUACCACAAAAAUAAAUUUGACUUAAAAAAAUCA
ensembl:lncRNA